AACUGAACAGAGCAGGAGGAGGAAAACUGAAGGCUGAGGCAGGAGGUCAGGACCACAGACUGAGAGCAGAGUCUCCAGGAUCCAGCUGUCUGUCUGUGAAGGGGGACUGGUCCACAGAAUUAAAUCCUCUAGACUUCAGUAAUGAACCUGGACCCUCAGACACAAAAUUUUCAGCAGAUAGUGGUCUGCAGGAGGUUUUAGGUGAACAUAAGAUCAGUCUGAGG